GCGAAUGGGCGAGGAAUACGUUCCUACGUACCCCAAGGCCAGGGAUAGCCCCGGGAAACUGGGAGUAAUACCUGAUGAUAUCUCCGGAUCAAAGGCUCCGGCCACCUUGGGAGCGGGGAACGCCCUAUCAGGUUGUUGGUGAGGUAACGGCUCACCAAGCCUUAGACGGGUAGCGGGUGUGAGAGCAUGACCCGCCGCAUCGGGACUGAGACACUGCCCGGACUCCUACGGGAGGCUGCAGUAACGAAUAUUCCGCAAUGCGCGAAAGCGUGACGGAGCAAUGCCGCGUGUGGGAUGAAGCUUUUCGGAGUGUAAACCACUGUCAGAGUUUAGGAACUCAAUGACCAGACUCAAAGGAAGGGCCGGCUAACUUCGUGCCAGCAGCCGCGGUAAUACGAAGGGCCCGAGCGUUAAUCGGAAUCACUGGGCUUAAAGCGUGCGUAGGCGGACUUGAAGGCGCUUUGUGAAAUCCCUCGGCUCAACCGAGGAACUGCAGGGCGAACCAUGAGUCUCGAGACAGGUAGAGGUUGUCGGAACGAUAGGUGGAGUGGUGAAAUGCGUUGAUAUCUAUCGGAACGCCUAUGGAGAAGUCAGGCAACUGGGCCUGUUCUGACGCUGAGGCACGAAAGCGUGGGUAGCGAACGGGAUUAGAUACCCGCGGUAGUCCACGCCGUAGACGAUGCGCACUAGGUUGGGAGAAGUUCUGACACUGUUUCCGGCCGAAGC
rnacentral:rRNA from 1 species